GAUGAACGCUGGCGGCGUGCCUAAUACAUGCAAGUCGAGCGAACGGACGAGGAGCUUGCUUCUCUGAUGUUAGCGGCGGACGGGUGAGUAACACGUGGAUAACCUACCUAUAAGACUGGGAUAACUUCGGGAAACCGGAGCUAAUACCGGAUAAUAUUUUGAACCGCAUGGUUCAAAAGUGAAAGACGGUCUUGCUGUCACUUAUAGAUGGAUCCGCGCUGCAUUAGCUAGUUGGUAAGGUAACGGCUUACCAAGGCAACGAUGCAUAGCCGACCUGAGAGGGUGAUCGGCCACACUGGAACUGAGACACGGUCCAGACUCCUACGGGAGGCAGCAGUAGGGAAUCUUCCGCAAUGGGCGAAAGCCUGACGGAGCAACGCCGCGUGAGUGAUGACGGUCUUCGGAUCGUAAAACUCUGUUAUUAGGGAAGAACAUAUGUGUAAGUAACUGUGCACAUCUUGACGGUACCUAGUCAGAAAGCCACGGCUAACUACGUG
rnacentral:rRNA from 1 species